AACAGGGAUUGCCCUAGUAACGGCGAGUGAAGCGGCAACAGCUCAAAUUUGAAAUCUGGCGCAAGCCCGAGUUGUAAUUUGUAGAGGAUGCUUCUAGGUAGCGACCGGUCUAAGUUCCUUGGAACAGGACGUCAUAGAGGGUGAGAAUCCCGUAUGUGACUGGCCCGCACCUUCUACGUAGCUCCUUCGACGAGUCGAGUUGUUUGGGAAUGCAGCUCUAAAUGGGAGGUAAAUUUCUUCUAAAGCUAAAUACCGGCCAGAGACCGAUAGCGCACAAGUAGAGUGAUCGAAAGAUGAAAAGCACUUUGGAAAGAGAGUUAAAAAGCACGUGAAAUUGUUGAAAGGGAAGCGCUCACAACCAGACUUCUAGGCAGUGUUCCGCCGGUCUUUUGACCGGUCUACUCUCUGUCUCGAGGCCAACAUCAUCUGGGACCGCUGGAUAAGACCUUAGGAAUGUAGCUCCCCUCGGGGAGUGUUAUAGCCUCUGGUGAUGCAGCGAGUCUCGGGUGAGGUCCGCGCUUCGGCAAGGAUGUUGGCGUAAUGGUUGUCAGCGGCCCGUCUUGAAACACGGACCAAGGAGUCUAACAUCUAUGCGAGUGUUCGGGUGUCAAACCCCUACGCGUAAUGAAAGUGAACGGAGGUGGGAAGCGUAAGCUGCACCAUCGACCGAUCCUGAUGUCCUCGGAUGGAUUUGAGUAAGAGCAUAGCUGUUGGGACCCGAAAGAUGGUGAACUAUGCCUGAAUAGGGUGAAGCCAGAGGAAACUCUGGUGGAGGCUCGCAGCGGUUCUGACGUGCAAAUCGAUCGUCAAAUUUGGGU
rnacentral:rRNA from 1 species